UGCUAUACAUGCAGUCGAGCGGACAGAAGGGAGCUUGCUCCCGGAUGUUAGCGGCGGACGGGUGAGUAACACGUGGGUAACCUGCCUGUAAGACUGGGAUAACUCCGGGAAACCGGAGCUAAUACCGGAUAGUUCCUUGAACCGCAUGGUUCAAGGAUGAAAGACGGUUUCGGCUGUCACUUACAGAUGGACCCGCGGCGCAUUAGCUAGUUGGUGGGGUAAUGGCUCACCAAGGCAACGAUGCGUAGCCGACCUGAGAGGGUGAUCGGCCACACUGGGACUGAGACACGGCCCAGACUCCUACGGGAGGCAGCAGUAGGGAAUCUUCCGCAAUGGACGAAAGUCUGACGGAGCAACGCCGCGUGAGUGAUGAAGGUUUUCGGAUCGUAAAGCUCUGUUGUUAGGGAAGAACAAGUGCGAGAGUAACUGCUCGCACCUUGACGGUACCUAACCAGAAAGCCACGGCUAACUACGUGCCAGCAGCCGCGGUAAUACGUAGGUGGCAAGCGUUGUCCGGAAUUAUUGGGCGUAAAGGGCUCGCAGGCGGUUUCUUAAGUCUGAUGUGAAAGCCCCCGGCUCAACCGGGGAGGGUCAUUGGAAACUGGGAAACUUGAGUGCAGAAGAGGAGAGUGGAAUUCCACGUGUAGCGGUGAAAUGCGUAGAGAUGUGGAGGAACACCAGUGGCGAAGGCGACUCUCUGGUCUGUAACUGACGCUGAGGAGCGAAAGCGUGGGGAGCGAACAGGAUUAGAUACCCUGGUAGUCCACGCCGUAAACGAUGAGUGCUAAGUGUUAGGGGGUUUCCGCCCCUUAGUGCUGCAGCUAACGCAUUAAGCACUCCGCCUGGGGAGUACGGUCGCAAGACUGAAACUCAAAGGAAUUGACGGGGGCCCGCACAAGCGGUGGAGCAUGUGGGUUUAAUUCGAAGCAACGCGAAGAACCUUACCAGGUCUUGACAUCCUCUGACACCCUAGAGAUAGGGCUUUCCCUUCGGGGACAGAGUGACAGGUGGUGCAUGGUUGUCGUCAGCUCGUGUCGUGAGAUGUUGGGUUAAGUCCCGCAACGAGCGCAACCCUUGAUCUUAGUUGCCAGCAUUUAGUUGGGCACUCUAAGGUGACUGCCGGUGACAAACCGGAGGAAGGUGGGGAUGACGUCAAAUCAUCAUGCCCCUUAUGACCUGGGCUACACACGUGCUACAAUGGACAGAACAAAGGGCUGCGAGACCGCAAGGUUUAGCGAAUCCCAUAAAUCUGUUCUCAGUUCGGAUCGCAGUCUGCAACUCGACUGCGUGAAGCUGGAAUCGCUAGUAAUCGCGGAUCAGCAUGCCGCGGUGAAUACGUUCCCGGGCCUUGUACACACCGCCCGUCACACCACGAGAGUUUGCAACACCCGAAGUCGGUGAGGUAACCUUUAUGGAGCCAGCCGCCGAAG
rnacentral:rRNA from 1 species